rnacentral:lncRNA from 1 species
UAUCAACACCAGAAGUUUAAAAAAUUUAGUAGUUAACUAAUAGUUUUAUUUUAAAUAACUACAAAAUUGUUAUUUCAAUUCAGUUGGGAAAUGCCUUAGUCAUAUGUUCUUUUUAUUUACAGGAAUUUGCAUUGUCAUGUUUCAGAAUACCAUCCCAAAGACUCGCAAAUAAGAUCGAUUUUUAAGCCUGACUUUGCCUAAAUUUACAUAUACAGGUACCUAUCACUUAUUAAUUUAUGUUCAGAUAGUGAUACUGACCAUUCUUAAUGUGUAAGCAGAUAAAAGAUUCCUUUUGCAAAUUUUAAGAUGGAAGUGUGAAUAUAAAUCAAAUCUCAACCUGUUUUCUGUCUGUUGAGUUUUAAUAUCAGCAUAAAAAAUAUUUGUGAUUAUGCCUAAUUUGUACUUAUUAAGACAAAUGUCUGUUUGCUUGGUGUUUUAACAAAACUGGCAAUUUUGUUAGGCUCUAAUCCCUUUAGAGUUUGUGGAAUUACUACUAGCAUGCAAAAAUUUUUAUAAUGUCUGAACCAAUUCAAGCCUAAUUAUAAAAUUUACUUAAAAACAAAGCUGUAUAUUUUCAUUACUCAAUUUUGGCUGGCUUGAACCAUUAGGUUUUAGAGUGAUUUGUCUUAUGGCAAUAACCUUGAAAUGAUGGUUUGCAAAAAUAACUUAC